GACGAACGCUGGCGGCGUGCUUAACACAUGCAAGUCGAGCGGUAAGGCCCUUUUGGGGGUACACGAGCGGCGAACGGGUGAGUAACACGUGGGUGACCUGCCCUCAGCUCUGGGAUAAGCCUGGGAAACUGGGUCUAAUACUGGAUAUGACCUUUCCUCGCAUGGGGUUGGGUGGAAAGUUUUUCGGCUGGGGAUGGGCCCGCGGCCUAUCAGCUUGUUGGUGGGGUGAUGGCCUACCAAGGCGACGACGGGUAGCCGGCCCCGAGAGGGCGACCGGCCACACUGGGACUGAGACACGGCCCAGACUCCUACGGGAGGCAGCAGUGGGGAAUAUUGCGCAAUGGCGGAAGCCUGACGCAGCGACGCCGCGUGGGGGAUGACGGCCUCGGUU
rnacentral:rRNA from 1 species